rnacentral:lncRNA from 1 species
CCUUUUGAGUGUCAGGCCCAGAGACUGUCAGCCACUCACUCCCUCUUUACAGGCCAGGAGCUGCUCUCCUGCUGGGCUGACCCGGUCCCGCUGCCCUGCUGGAGUGGCCAGAUGUUCCCGUUUCCUGUCCUGUGGAGCUGGGUGAUCAUGGCUGUUGGGAGCACAGCUGCUUCUCUGCAACUCCUGGGUUCCUGUCUUCAAGAUUUGGCUGCAAUGAGUGAUUUCAGGCACUGGCCACCAGCCUCAGGACCUUUUGCCUGGCCUGCCUGUGUGUUUCAGAUGCCGCCGCAAGCCUGGUGGAGCAACGCCCCCGAUGGGUCCUGGUACGUCGUGGACAGGCUGAAACCCUGCACUGCACCCUGAGGAAUUCCCAGUACCCCUGGAUGAGCUGGUACCAGCAGGAUUCUCAGGGCCAACUGCAGGUGCUGGCCAGUCUGGGGAAUGUGGGCGAUAAGGAGGCCACAUCCCUUCCUGGAGCAGAUUAUCAGGCCACGCGGGUCAGUGACACAGAGCUGAGGCUGCUUGUGGCCAACGUCACCCAGAGAAGAACCUUGUUCUGCACCUGCAGUGAAGACACAGUGAGAUGCCCUCCUUGGAUCAGUGACUAAAAACCACCCCUGGUUCCCAACCACAGAGCCCAGCCUCCCCCUCCUCUGCCCUGAAACCCCUCCCAGCCUUCUUCCUCCCCACCUGGAGUCUCCCUUCUGGCCUCUUGACUCUUAAGCAGGCUCCCCCUGCCAGGACAUGCUGCCAACAAGCACAGUGACUGAUCCUCAGGGCAGACUGGCUUGGCCACUUCUGACUUUGGGGAAGACUUCAUCUGCCUCAAACUUAGUGUCUGUCUGUGUCUGCAAAAUACAGAGUUACUCUGUCUGACGCAGACGAUGGCUGCUAGGAUUAAAGAACACAACUCAGGUGAGGCCUUUAGGAAACUGCAGAGGCCCAGAUGAAGCACGUCAUUAGUGUGAGCUAUUUCCUCUGCAUGCGUAUCUGUAAAAAGCAUAUUGUAUUUUAACGCCCGUAUCAGUGCCCAGAGGGGUGCUGGAGAGAAGCCUGGGGAAAUUCUGGGAGCUCAGAAAAGGGGCAGAGGGACUAUCUCAAGGCCUGAUUCCCACUCACGCCCCUGGAAUAAAUGAGCACACACUUUUCCAAUCAGAUCCUCAUUCUUGCCCCACCCCUGCCUAACCUACUUCCACCUCACUCUUGAGCUUUUUAAAAGAGCCAGAGAGAGACUGACCUAGAAAAGGACCAGGGCCUGAGAUUCACGGUGGACGGUUUACCAAAUUCUGCCCUAAAAGCCGUGGUUCGGAACAGGGUCUGCAACCUAAGACCACAUAUGAAGUGAGGGUAGACAGAGGAGCGGAGACCAGAAGCAGAUUGGCGGAACCAGCGCCGGGGUGUUUUAUAGAGAAGCCAGAUCCUGAGACCCCUGCAGAGGGGGAGACCCGGCUGCAGCUGGUCCCCUCUGCUUCCAGCUCACAGCUUCUCCAGCCCAGACGGUGUGGACCGAGUGAGCAGGUAAGUGGGGUGCGAGGUGGGAGUGAGUGAAUGAGGAGGCGUUUCAAAGGCAGCCUGACGGGGUGGUGGUGGUGGUGGGGGGGCUGACGCAGCUGCCUGCACCUGCUCUUCCUUCCGUGGCCCUGGCGGAGAUUGAGAAGUUUGUUCCAUCAGGGGGCAGCAUCUGUCCACGGCUCUCCACGACCUGCACAGAGGGCAUGGCAGCAGCCACGGCUGUUGGUUUUGUUUCAGACCUUCUCAGCUGUGGCUGAAUACCUGCUUGGGUCUAGAAGACAAGGUCAAGAGCCUGGCUCUGAGCCCUGGGGACAUUUGGAUACCUGUGUUCUCUCAUUUCUCAAGGAAGGGUACCUCUGUUUGAGAAUAUUGUCACUGGGAGGUCCAUGGUCAGAGGCCAGAAAGCGGCUGUUAAACACAGAGAUGGUGGAGCAGGGAGGCCCUGGGCCUCUGGCUCUUAAAGCUGCCCUCUGCUCGCCGUUCGUGGAGCAACUACAGCCAAGCGUCUGGCCAGAGUGAUGGCAAAGACCAUUGCUCUAAUGGGUUCCCUUCAACCUCAGUCCUUGAGAGCUCUCUGGAGACCUCCCCGGAUGCAGUUCUGCUCACUUGGACCAUAAACUAUGACAUAAUAUCAUUGCCUAGAUCCUUGAUUCCGUAGUGAUAACACUAGCCCUUGCAGACUGGCAGAUAGCAGGAGUUCAAACAAUGUUUUUUGAUUGAAUGGGUUCUGUUAUUCCUGGUUAUUCAGUAGGAAAUAUUGAUGGCUGUCAUGUGAGCUCCUCUCUUCAGCCUGAUGAGAGUCUGUGUCUUUGCAACUUAUGUUAACUUCUUUUUCUCAUUCAAAACUUUCAAAUGCUCUAUUAGGCAAGUACACACCACCAUUUAAAAAAAAAAUUAUGGAAAUGGAUGCUUAAGAGUUUGAAUGACUUCCCCAAUGUCACACAGCUAAUGGUAGGAGAGCCAGGUCUCAAAAAUAGGAACUGUGAGUCUAUGUCUAGGACUCUCAACACCUCACUUAGCUGUCUUUUUUCAUAAUGAAUACAUUACUACCGGGAUGAAGGGAGGUGUUACCUGGCAGGUAUCUUUGCCCCCUUCCAGAAAGCCAGUGCAUGUAACCUCACUGGUGAUGGCAUCAGGAGGGGCUGUUUGGCAGUUGUGGUCAGAGGGUGCAGGGAAGUCCACACACCCCAUGGAGCAGGUCGGGUGAGUGGCCUGGAAUGAAGAGAGGAAGGGGCUACCCUAGUCACCCUGGGAUUCAGCAGGGCCAGAUGGGGAUGGACAGAAUUGUACUCUUUAAAUCUAAUUGCUUGGUGGGGGGAAGGAACAUCUCUCCUGACUGUGUAAACCGGUUCCUGCCCCCAUUGUUAUCGGCACAGUUUGGAUUAGUCUUAAGAUGGUGGAAGUGGAAGUUCCUGUCGUGGCGCAGCGGAAGUGAAUCUGACUAGUAUCCAUGAGGACACAGGUUCGGUCCCUGUCCUGGCUCGGUGGGUUAAGAUCUGGUGUUGCUGUGAGCUGUGGUGUAGGUCACAGGUGUGGCUUGAAUCUGGCUUCGCUGUGGCUGUGGCAUAGGCUGGCAACUACAGCUCUGAUUCAACCCCUAGCCUGCGAACCUCCAUAUGCUGUGGGUAUGGCCAAAACAAAACAAAACAAAACCAAAAAAACCCUGCCCCCCAAAAAAAUAAAUAAAAGAUUGUGGAGCUGUAGGACUGGCAUGUGGCUAUAGCCACCAAAGAUAGCUAUCUAUUUAGUCUCCUUUGCCUCAGUCACCCAAGAAUACACGUAUAGAAUGCCUGCUCAGUUUUCAGUAUUUUGCUAUAUAGGGUGUGACUUUCAAG